AAUAACAUUUUGUAUUAGAGAGACUCAGUGGAUGGCUGACACAAUAUUUUGGUGAUAAUUUCAGAGGAGGGUCCAAUGCCAUCAUGGAAUAUCUUGGACAAAACUAUGAGGUAAGGUCUGUGCUAACAAGGGAUGUCCUGCACGUAGUGGCCAAAGGGUUAAUAGUGGUAUGACAAAUAUGCUGUUGAUUGGUGUGUGUUAUUUACAAAUUGGCUAUGGGUUUUUGUGUGGCCGAUAAAAGGCGAUUCCUGUAAGAUUCAUAAUAGAUGACAAAUUAAAAUAAAUAUUAAAUGAGUCAGUGAAAUGUAUACUUGAUGUCUUUUCAUAUUUUAUUUAUUUGGGAGUCUGUAGUUUAUGUGUACAUUAUUGUUAAAUAGUAUUUUAACCAUUUUCUGUAUUUUAACAGGUGCUUGUUCAUAUUCAACAACGCCAUCAUCAGGAAAAAGGAUCCAAGACUCCGAUCGGUGGUGAUCGAUUUAUUCCUGUUAGAAGUGCAACCAAUGUUGAACUUGCACAUUAUAAGGUAACCCAGGAACAACAACCAGAUGAUAAAUUGAUAAGCCCUUCAUAGAAAGGAUAUCAGUGCUUCAUGUCAGAGUAUCUGUUUGGCAGAGAUGUUAGAAAUAUGAGGCUUCUGUCAUACAAGAACAAAGCACCAGGAACGCCGGAUGGAUUCUUGGAUCCCCUGAACGUCAAGUAUUCCACGGCACGACCUUCAGGAAAGAUUUUGACUCGAUAUAUUCCACAAAGUCCAGACAUAAUUCUUGAUGCUCCUGACAUUGUGGAUGACUAUUGUAAGUUGGUAUUUAUGUAUCUUGUAAGAAAUCAAAUUUGAAUGUUUUAUCAGCAGAAAAUGGUCAAAGGUCGA